UGGGGGAUAUUGCACAAUGGGCGAAAGCCUGAUGCAGCGACGCCGCGUGAGGGAAGACGGUUUUCGGAUUGUAAACCUCUGUCCUAUGGGACGAAAGAGAUGACGGUACCAUAGGAGGAAGCCCCGGCUAACUACGUGCCAGCAGCCGCGGUAAUACGUAGGGGGCGAGCGUUGUCCGGAAUGAUUGGGCGUAAAGGGCGCGUAGGCGGCCUGUUAAGUCUGGAGUGAAAGUCCUGCUUUCAAGGUGGGAAUUGCUUUGGAUACUGAUGGGCUGGAGUGCAGGAGAGGAAAGCGGAAUUACCGGUGUAGCGGUGAAAUGCGUAGAGAUCGGUAGGAACACCAGUGGCGAAGGCGGCUUUCUGGACUGAAACUGACGCUGAGGCGCGAAAGCGUGGGGAGCAAACAGGAUUAGAUACCCUGGUAGU
rnacentral:rRNA from 1 species